rnacentral:SRP_RNA from 1 species
GCCAUAAGUGGCACGUUCUGUAGUCUCAGCUACAUGGGAAGCUGAAGCAGGAGGAUCACUUAAGUUCAGAAGCGCUGGGCUGUAGUGCACUAUGCCGAUUGGGUGUCUGAACUAAGUUUGGCGUCAAUAUGGUGACCUCUCAGGAGCAGGGGACCACCAGAUUGCCUAAGGAAGAAUGAACAGGCCCAGGACAUAAACGGAGUAGGUCAAAACUCCCAUGCUGAGCCGUCUGGCAUCAUGUCUGUGAACAGCCAUUGCAUUCCAGCCUGAGCAAUAUAGCCAUAUUCUGUCUUU